rnacentral:rRNA from 1 species
CAUCUGGAUUUGGAAAUGGGCGAAACCUGUCCAGCCAUGCCGCGUGUGUGAAGAAGGUCUUCGGAUUGUAAAGCACUUUAAGUUGGGAGGAAGGGUUGUAGAUUAAUACUCUGCAAUUUUGACGUAACCUACAGAAAAAGCACCGGCUAACUCCGUGCCAGCAGCCGCGGUAAUACGGAGGGUGCGAGCGUUAAUCGGAAUUACUGGGCGUAAAGCGUACGUAGGCGGCUUUGUAAGUCGAUUGUGAAAUCCCCGGGCUUAACCUGGGAAUUGCAGUCGAUACUGCAUGGCUGGAGUAUGGUAGAGGGUAGUGGAAUUCCGGGUGUAGCGGUGAAAUGCGUAGAUAUCCGGAGGAACACCAGUGGCGAAGGCGGCUACCUGGACCAAUACUGACGCUGAGGUACGAAAGCGUGGGGAGCAAACAGGAUUAGAUACCCUGGUAGUCCACGCCCUAAACGAUGUCAACUAGCCGUUGGGUUCAUUUAAGAACUUAGUGGCACAGCAAACGCGAUAAGUUGACC